rnacentral:rRNA from 1 species
ACGAAGGGGGCUAGCGUUGCUCGGAAUUACUGGGCGUAAAGCGCACGUAGGCGGUUUCUUAAGUCGGGGGUGAAAUCCUGGAGCUCAACUCCAGAACUGCCUUCGAUACUGAGAGACUUGGGUUCGGGAGAGGUGAGUGGAACUGCGAGUGUAGAGGUGAAAUUCGUAGAUAUUCGCAAGAACACCAGUGGCGAAGGCGGCUCACUGGCCCGAUACUGACGCUGAGGUGCGAAAGCGUGGGGAGCAAACAGGA